rnacentral:rRNA from 1 species
GACGAACGCUGGCGGCGUGCUUAACACAUGCAAGUCGAACGGAAAGGCCCUGCUUUUGUGGGGUGCUCGAGUGGCGAACGGGUGAGUAACACGUGAGUAACCUGCCCUUGACUUUGGGAUAACUUCAGGAAACUGGGGCUAAUACCGGAUAGGAGCUCCUGCUGCAUGGUGGGGGUUGGAAAGUUUCGGCGGUUGGGGAUGGACUCGCGGCUUAUCAGCUUGUUGGUGGGGUAGUGGCUUACCAAGGCUUUGACGGGUAGCCGGCCUGAGAGGGUGACCGGCCACAUUGGGACUGAGAUACGGCCCAGACCCCUACGGGAGGCAGCAGUGGGGAAUAUUGCACAAUGGGCGGAAGCCUGAUGCAGCAACGCCGCGUGCGGGAUGACGGCCCUCGGGUUGUAAACCGCUUUCGCCUGUGACGAAGCGUGAGUGACGGUAAUGGGUAAAGAAGCACCGGCUAACUACGUG